UUAGAUGCCAUAUGAAGAAAGAUGGGCUGGUUUACUGACUGAUGAGGUACCUUGUGAAGAGAGGCCUCAGCCUUCCCAUACUCCCCAUGACACAUUUGCUACCUCCCACUGACCCAUGAAAUGAAUCCAUCCACAAGAGAAAUCCUACAUGAGACCACUCACCUCAAAGAUUUUCAAUAAAUAUCUUCAGUCAUUAGUAGCAAUACAAACACUGUUUUGGAGGCCGAACAGUGGGAAAGUUGUGGCGAUCAAGCAAGUCUGGUGGCAGAGCUUUUGGAAUACUCAUCAGUAAACGUGAACAUCCUAGGCUGGCACACCCGUGAUUCCAGUUCAACAAGUUCAUUUACCUGAAACUGGCCUGUGUGAUGCAAACUGAAGAAGCAAGAAAUGUGGUGGUAUCAUCCAAUUAAUGUCUGGAAAUCUGAGGACCAGGAAGCUGACCAUGCAAGUCCUGGUCUGAAUCCAAAGACUUGAGAACCAGAACACUAACGUGCAAACCAGGAGAAAGCAUGGUCCCAGCUCCAGCAGAGACAUGACUGCAUGAAGGCCAAGAACAGCCAGCAUCGUUCUGAACAAAAAGAAUCCUGCUGAAGAUAUCACCAUUACUCAAUUUACAGUCAGUACAGAUUCAUAGCAGUAAAACCAAGAUGGCACUAGCACUGAGCAAAGUUGUAAGCUAAUGGAAUAGA